rnacentral:tRNA from 1 species
GUCCCGAUAGUAUAAACCAUUACGCUGGUCUUGUAAACCAGUAAUGAAAAAAACACCUUUUCUCGGGACA